rnacentral:rRNA from 1 species
GACGAACGCUGGCGGCGUGCUUAACACAUGCAAGUCGAACGGAAAGGCCCUGCUUUUGUGGGGUGCUCGAGUGGCGAACGGGUGAGUAACACGUGAGUAACCUGCCCUUGACUUUGGGAUAACUUCAGGAAACUGGGGCUAAUACCGGAUAGGAGCUCCUGCUGCAUGGUGGGGGUUGGAAAGUUUCGGCGGUUGGGGAUGGACUCGCGGCUUAUCAGCUUGUUGGUGGGGUAGUGGCUUACCAAGGCUUUGACGGGUAGCCGGCCUGGGAGGGUGACCGGCCACAUUGGGACUGAGGUACGGCCCAGACUCCUACGGGAGGCAGCAGUGGGAAAUAUUGCGCAAUGGGCGGAAGCCUGAUGCAGCAACGCCGCGUGCGGGAUGACGGCCUUCGGGUUGUAAACCGCUUUCGCCUGUGACGAAGCGUGAGUGACGGUAAUGGGUAAAGAAGCACCGGCUAACUACGUG